rnacentral:misc_RNA from 1 species
GAAAUGCGAUAAGUAAUGCGAAUUGCAGAAUUCCAGUGAGUCAUCGAAUCUUUGAACGCACAUUGCGCCCUUUGGUAUUCCGAAGGGCAUGCCUGUUCGAGCGUCAUUAUCACCCCUCAAGCCCCCGGGCUUGGUUUUGGAGUUUAGGCCUGGGCGACAAGCCCUCGCCCCUCCUAAAGACAAUGACGGCGGCCCAGGACCACCGGUACACUGAGUUCUUCACUGGACACGUACCGUCAUAGGUCUCUGGGCCCUCGGUCUCAACCCCUUUAUUUUUACAAGGUUGACCUCGGAUCAGGUAGGGAUACCCGCUGAACUUAA